rnacentral:rRNA from 1 species
CCUACGGGAGGCAGCAGUGAGGAAUAUUGGACAAUGGACGAAAGUCUGAUCCAGCUAUGCCGCGUGCAGGAUGACAGCCCUACGGGUUGUAAACUGCUUUUAUACAGGAAGAAAAACCCCGACGUGUCGGGGCUUGACGGUACUGUAAGAAUAAGGAUCGGCUAACUCCGUGCCAGCAGCCGCGGUAAUACGGAGGAUCCAAGCGUUAUCCGGAAUUAUUGGGUUUAAAGGGUCCGCAGGCUGUUUUUUAAGUCAGAGGUGAAAUCCUGCAGCUCAACUGUAGAAUUGCCUUUGAAACUGAAAGACUUGAGUUAUUGUGAAGUGGUUAGAAUGUGUGGUGUAGCGGUGAAAUGCAUAGAUAUCACACAGAAUACCAAUUGCGAAGGCAGAUCACUAACAAUUAACUGACGCUCAGGGACGAAAGCGUGGGUAGCGAACAG